GACGAACGCUGGCGGCGUGCUUAACACAUGCAAGUCGAACGGGAUUUAGUAGACAGAAGCCUCGGCUAAAGAUUACUAAUGAGAGUGGCGAACGGGUGAGUAACGCGUGAGCAACCUGCCUAUGACAGUGGGAUAGCCACGGGAAACCGGGAUUAAUACCGCAUAAAAUCGUAGAAACACAUGUUUUAACGGUCAAAGAUUUAUCGGUCAUAGAUGGGCUCGCGUCUGAUUAGCUAGUUGGUGAGAUAACAGCCCACCAAGGCGACGAUCAGUAGCCGGUCUGAGAGGAUGAACGGCCACAUUGGAACUGAGACACGGUCCAAACUCCUACGGGAGGCAGCAGUGGGGAAUAUUGCACAAUGGGGGAAACCCUGAUGCAGCGACGCCGCGUGAACGAAGAAGGUAUUCGUAUCGUAAAGUUCUGUCCUAUGGGAAGAUAAUGACAGUACCAUAGAAGAAAGCUCCGGCUAAAUACGUG
rnacentral:rRNA from 1 species